UCCAUGNGUAGCGGUGAAAUGCGUAGAUAUAUGGAGGAACACCAGUGGCGAAAGCGGCUCUCUGNUCUGUCACUGACGCUGAGGCUCGAAAGCGUGGGUAGCGAACAGGAUUAGAUACCCUGGUAGUCCACGCCGUAAACGAUGAGUGCUAGGUGUUAGGCCCUUUCCGGGGCUUAGUGCCGGAGCUAACGCAAUAAGCACUCCGCCUGGGGAGUACGACCGCAAGGUUGAAACUCAAAGGAAUUGACGGGGGCCCGCACAAGCGGUGGAGCAUGUGGUUUAAUUUGAAGCAACGCGAAGAACCUUACCAGGUCUUGACAUCCCGAUGCUAUUCUUAGAGAUAGGAAGUUACUUCGGUACAUCGGAGACAGGUGGUGCAUGGUUGUCGUCAGCUCGUGUCGUGAGAUGUUGGGUUAAGUCCCGCAACGAGCGCAACCCUUAUUGUUAGUUGCCAUCAUUAAGUUGGGCACUCUAGCGAGACUGCCGGUAAUAAACCGGAGGAAGGUGGGGAUGACGUCAAAUCAUCAUGCCCCUUAUGACCUGGGCUACACACGUGCUACAAUGGUCGGUACAACGAGUUGCGAGCCGGUGACGGCAAGCUAAUCUCUGAAAGCCGAUCUCAGUUCGGAUUGGAGGCUGCAACUCGCCUCCAUGAAGUCGGAAUCGCUAGUAAUCGCGGAUCAGCACGCCGCGGUGAAUACGUUCCCGGGCCUUGUNC
rnacentral:rRNA from 1 species